rnacentral:rRNA from 1 species
AUGGCGACCGGCGCACGGGUGAGUAACACGUAUCCAACCUGCCGAUGACUCGGGGAUAGCCUUUCGAAAAGAAAGAUUAAUACCCGAUGGCAUAGUUCUUCCGCAUGGUAGAACUAUUAAAGAAUUUCGGUCAUCGAUGGGGAUGCGUUCCAUUAGCUUGUUGGCGGGGUAACGGCCCACCAAGGCAUCGAUGGAUAGGGGUUCUGAGAGGAAGGUCCCCCACAUUGGAACUGAGACACGGUCCAAACUCCUACGGAAGGCAGCAG